GGGGCAGCCUGACAAUUGGUAUGGGGUCGAGCACUGCACAGAGCUCUUAGCUUAUCGAGGGUAUCAGGAAUGGAACGCUGAUAACUGUAGAAACAAAAACUCCUUCAUCUGCAAGUACCAGCUCUAAGCAGGAGGUACACCAGCUCCUGGGACGUGAGCACUUUGCGUCCAGCAGCUCUUCAAGGAGACCUGUCCUGCAAACCCACCUGCUGUGCCCCCUCCCCACACUGCUGUGCCCAUCCAUGCCAGCCCCGCUCUCCUUUGCCUUCUCUCGCUCUGCUGGGUUUCCGUGUCUCCCCUCCCAUCCUCUGCAUGAUCCCAGCACAGGGCAGUGAUAAUAAACUUCCCCUUGGCAUUCA